ensembl:lncRNA
AUGAUUUUCAACCGUGAAAAACUGAAGCGCCGGCAGGAGGAGGGCUGUAUGGCAGCAGACAGAGACGCCGAUCCAGACGGAGAUGAGGCCGAGGCCGAGGCGGAGGCCGAGGGAGGAACGGAGGACGAGGAGAACGAGGCCGAACCCGAGGCCUCCAAACUGAGCAUGUGUGGCUCGGUCUGCUCGUCUCCGGGAAGCUGCUAGCGCCCCCUGCUGUCUCGGAGCUGCUCACCUCGCCUUUAACAGCUCUGGAGAUCCCAGCCCUGGCUUCUUUCGUCUCCGUCGCUCCUAGAGUAAAUCUGAACUUCUAUGCAACGUAACUCUUCAGCAUGAUGUAAAAUAGAGAUUUUAGAAGCAAUUCUACAAUGUAAGACUGUUUGCUUGAGUAUGACGACACCACAUGAAACACACCAGACGACGGAGGAGCUCUUCAUCUUAAUUGCAUUAGUAUGUUUACAUAUGUGACCACAAAAUCAGUCAUAAGGGAAACUGAGAUUUCUACAUCGUCUGAAAGCUGAGUAAAUAAUCUCUCCAUUGAUGUGUGGUUUGUUAGGAGGACAAUAUUUGUCUGAGAUACAACUAUUUGAAAAUCUGGAAUCUGAGGGAGCAAAAAAAUCUAAAUAUUGAGAAAAUCAUCUUUAAAGUUGUUCAAAUGAAGUUCUUAGCAAUGCAUAUUACUAAUCAAAAAUUAAGUUUUGAUAUAUUUACGGUAGGAAAUUUACUAAAUAUCUUCAUGGAACAUGAUCUUUACUUAAUAUCCUAAUGAUUUUUGUCAUAAAAGAGAAAUGUAUAAUUUUGACCCAUACAAUGUAUUGUUGUCUAUUGCUACAAAUAUACCUGUGCUACUGAUGACUGCUUCUGUGCUGCAGGGACACAUUUAUUUAUGUGCUAUUGCAUUUUAAUAUUUUUACUUAACCUGUUGUCUAUGAUUCAACUCCUCCUAUAAAAUAGCACUUUACUAAAUAAGAAAAACAGACUAAAAGUGUGAAAGACAUACACUCUUAAAAAUAAAGGUGCUUAAAGGGUUCUACA